UAUAAUCUGUAUUUUUCCUACAGGUGUGGGUUUCAAACAUCAAAUAAUUAUUCUAUUUGUGUUAUUCAAGUCCAUGGGUUAAUAUUCACUUGUGAAAAUUUAACCUCUUGGUCAAAUAUCACGGGGUUAAAUAAUCACUGGCGGUGCACUUGGAAAACAUUUAUAUUUAUUUAUAAUAACAGACUUACGCCCACACAUCAACAUAAUUACAAGGUAUUCAGAUUCAUUAAAUCACAAGAAAAAUUACAAGUUGAUCAUAAAUUAUACAUUUUGGUUCGAAGAGGAGAAAAGUGUUGGUUCAAGAUACGAAAAAUAUUAGGAACAAAAGAAAGAAGGGUUGGAAUUGGCAGUAGACAUAAGGCGGAUAAUUGGAUCAUCGAGUUCGUGGUUAGUAGAGCAGAAAGGAUGUGAACAAAUUUUAGAUGAACGGCUAAUACGAGAAGGAAUAUAAAAAUUAAAUUCAUACAACAACAUUCGACAGGAGUGGAUAGCCGGGACUUAUUAGUCGGAUAGUCUUUGGACUUGCUAUUUCUCAGUGUUUAGGACUGUCUAAAAAAACCUAAAGAAAGUGGCACUCAAACCGAAAAGCUGGCAAAAAUGCAGGAUUUAGGUUUUGCGGAUUCUGAUUGACGAUCAAAUUUAUUAGGUUCUAACGAAACGAGAACGAUCUUUGACUGAUUCAAACCAUUUUAUUACGGCGCUAAAUAAUUAUUUAACAGGAACCGAUUCCUAUUUAGGAUAUGAAAGUUCAAAAAUACGAACUUCAGACCUUGAAAACAGAGAAAAUGUCAAUUAAAGAAUUCAAAAUUAAUAACCGUGAUUGGUUUUCGAAUCGCAAGAAUAAUGUCUAAUAUAAUCCGUAGUCAAAAGUUUAAAAAUACC